CUGGUGUCAGCCGCCGCGGUAAUACCAGCACCCCGAGUGGUCGGGACGAUUAUUGGGCCUAAAGCAUCCGUAGCCGGCCCUGCAAGUCUUCCGUUAAAUCCAUCCGCUCAACGGAUGGGCCGCGGGAGAUACUACAGGGCUAGGGGGCGGGAGAGGCAAGCGGUACUCAGUGGGUAGGGGUAAAAUCCUCUGAUCCACUGAAGACCACCAGUGGCGAAGGCGGCUUGCCAGAACGCGCUCGACGGUGAGGAAUGAAAGCUGGGGGAGCAAACCGGAUUAGACACCCGGGUAGUCCCAGCUGUAAACGAUGCAGACUCGGUGAUGGGCUGGCCUAGUGCUAGCCCAGUGCCGCAGGGAAGCCGUUAAGUCUGCCGCCUGGGGAGUACGGUCGCAAGACUGAAACUUAAAG
rnacentral:rRNA from 2 species